rnacentral:rRNA from 1 species
AACGAACGCUGGCGGCAGGCUUAACACAUGCAAGUCGAACGAACGUAGCAAUACGUGAGUGGCGCACGGGAGAGUAACACGUGGGAACCUACCUUCUGGUUCGGAAUAACGUCGGGAAACUGACGCUAAUACCGGAUACGCCCUAUGGGGAAAAGAUUUAUUGCCAAAAGAUGGGCCCGCGCUAGAUUAGCUUGCUGGUGAGGUAACGGCUCACCAAGGCGACGAUAUAUAGCUGGUCUGAGAGGAUGACCAGCCUCACUGGGACUGAGACACGGCCCAGACUCCUACGGGAGGCAGCAGUGGGGAAUAUUGGACAAUGGGGGAAACCCUGAUCCAGCCAUGCCGCGUGAAUGAUGAAGGCCUUCGGGUUGUAAAGUUCUUUUGGUGGGGACGAUGAUGACGGUACCCACAGAAUAAGCUCCGGCUAACUUCGUGCCAGCCGCCGCGGUAA